GGAAGUAAAAGUUGUAACAAGGUCUCCGUUGGUGAACCAGCGGAGGGAUCAUUACCGAGUUAUCAACUCCCAAACCCCUGUGAACAUACCCAACGUUGCUUCGGCGGGACCGCCCCGGCGCCCUCGGCGUCCCGGAACCAGGCGCCCGCCGGAGGACCCAAACUCUUGUUUAAACCAUAGUGGCAUAUUCUGAGUCUCACAAGAAAAAUGAAUCAAAACUUUCAACAACGGAUCUCUUGGCUCUG
rnacentral:misc_RNA from 1 species